rnacentral:rRNA from 1 species
UACGUAGGGACCGAGCGUUGUCCGGAAUCAUUGGGCGUAAAGAGCGUGUAGGCGGCCUUUUAAGUCCUGCGUGAAAUCCUGCGGCUCAACCGCAGACGGUCGUGGGAAACUGGAAGGCUAGAGUGCGGGAGAGGAGAGUGGAAUUCCCGGUGUAGCGGUGAAAUGCGCAGAUAUCGGGAAGAACACCCGUGGCGAAGGCGGCUCUCUGGAACGCACUCGACGGUGAGGGAUGAAAGCUGGGGGAGCAAACCGG